GAAUUCUUUAUUAAAAUUAAUUUUUGUUUAACAUGUACACAAGAUGAUCCUAAUCAAGUUCUGAAAAUGUAUCUUGGUAGGUGGGUAUUUUAAAUUUUAAUUUGAGUUAUGAUUAAGGCCAUUUCUCUAGAGUACCUACCUACUUUAGAAAUAGGUAAAAAUAAAAGAUGUUAUUUUAUCUAUUAAGAUAUUGCCUAUAAUAAACAAUUGUUUUAUUUAAUUCAAUUAAUCAAGUGUUAAUGGCUGGUAAACCAUCUAUAAAGCAUAACACUAUUUUUUUUUACUUUCAUACAGAUUUGAUACACAGAAACAAAUCGGUGUUUCUGUUACAAUUGUACCGCACCACUGUACCUUUCAUCAAUGAAAUAUUAUAAAUCAGCGGCCUAUAUUUGUCACCGAUCGCCUCACACACAC